GCAGAUCUGGUGCUAUGGAGGACCUGCUUACUGCUAUGAGGUGUUACUUUAUAGAGGUCCUGGAGAAGCUGAUUGAGGCCACGUCAAUGUUGCAAGGAGACAUGAGACUCACAUCAGAGUUCUAUGGCUUAACAUGGGGGAUGGUGGCUGGUGAAAAAAUAUAUAAGAUAAGCCUGGAGGAGAAGGACCAGUAAUACCAGAAAUCAAGGAGGGGCCUUGAAGAGAAAAGGAUAGCAAAAGGAUGAAGACCUGUCCAAGACCCAGCAGCCAGCAUGAAAGAGC
rnacentral:lncRNA from 10 species